CACGUAGGGCGCAAGCGUUGUCCGGAAUUAUUGGGCGUAAAGAGCUCGUAGGCGGUCUGUUACGUCUGCUGUGAAAACCCGGGGCUACCACUGGGCUGCAGUGGAUACGGGCAGACUAGAGGCAGGUAGGGGAGAAUGGAAUUCCCGGUGUAGCGGUGAAAUGCGCAGAUAUCGGGAGGAACACCGGUGGCGAAGGCGGUUCUCUGGGCCUGACCUGACGCUGAGGAGCGAAAGCGUGGGGAGCGAACAGG
rnacentral:rRNA from 1 species